ACACUCAUGGUUCUCUUCAUAUCAUUAUAAAUCUUUUCGCCUUUUACUAAAGAUUUCCGUGGAAAGGACCACUAUGAGUAGAUAUGAAUUUUUUGAUGCCCCACCUUAUGGUGGGGU